UUUCUUACGGCUUCUCGGGGGUACAAUGUUGGCUUGGGGGUUCCUGUGCGACUCACCUGGUUGUGGCGUUUGUGCCGUGUGGAAUCAAGAAUCAACAGGCUGCUUUGAGCAGGCGUGCGUGACUCUCAGUCUGCAUGGGACGUAUGUCUCCUCCGUAGCAACCAGAUAUUCAAAUGUUUUUUUAAAGCAAAAUAAAACGUCAUUUUUGAUCGAACUGAUUACACAAGGAGAACUGAGGACAUUCCCCUUUGGCGGGAGUGUGUCCUGAAAGCCAUCGAGAAGAUGGAGAUUACCUGAUCAUCUUGACUCUAGAGCAGAUGAUGCUCGGAGGGACCUGGAGCACAGCACUAUGGCAGUGUUUGUCAUUCAGAAAGAGGGAAGAACUGCAGGAGCCACCUGAAGACAUUGGCCUCGUUAUUGAGGCCAUGGAGUUGUUGCCUCAACUCAACCGUUGCAUCAGCUCUUGCCCUGCUUCUAGGGUUGAUAUAUGCUCUCAACCUCUCCUACCAAAAAACACUUUAUUUCACUUUUGAAGUGCUCCAGAAGAUUAUCAUGGAGCUUGAGCAGCAAAAGAUGUCCCCCAAGGUCCAUAAUCUGUAUGGCAGACUUCCAGCCCAAUAAAUAGUGUUUAGAUAUUGGGCAUUUCAGAAUUUAGCCUCUUUGGCUGUUGGGCCUUUGUUAGUUCC